UGGGGAAUAUUGGACAAUGGGCGCAAGCCUGAUCCAGCCAUGCCGCGUGAGUGACGAAGGUCUUCGGAUUGUAAAACUCUUUUGGCGGGGACGAUAAUGACGGUACCCGCAGAAUAAGCCCCGGCUAACUUCGUGCCAGCAGCCGCGGUAAUACGAAGGGGGCUAGCGUUGUUCGGAAUCACUGGGCGUAAAGCGCACGUAGGCGGAUGUGCCAGUCAGGGGUGAAAUCCCGGAGCUCAACUCCGGAACUGCCUCUGAUACUGCACGUCUUGAGUUCGAGAGAGGUGGGUGGAAUUCCUAGUGUAGAGGUGAAAUUCGUAGAUAUCUGGAGGAACACCGGUGGCGAAGGCGGCAUCCUGGACCGGUAUUGACGCUGAGUGAGCGAAAGCCAGGGGAGCAAACGGGAUUAGAUACCCCUGUAGUCCCUGAGCGGGCUGGCAAGGCGCAU
rnacentral:rRNA from 1 species